GAAGGGAAAGAAGGUAGCUUCACCUCAGGGAGGCCGACGUGCCUAAGUAAAUGUUUCUACGGCAAAGUCUCCACUCAUUACGGAUAUGGAGGUGGUGCAAGGCCUUACUCAACCGUGCUUCUGGCUACAUGAGUGCGUUAGCGAUGCAGACGAUGAAGCAAUGAUUGAGAUUAAGUUGUCGGACCACCAAUUCCACUACAUUGAGGAAACAUCGACCUUCAUUUCUAAGGUUGAUAUUAAAGAAUUCUUACUUGGGGACGAGUUGAAUGUUUCCAUGAUACAAACAUUCAUGAGGCUAUUAUACAAUGAUUUGAGGCAAUCUAGUCAGCCAAUGUUUGGUUGGUUA